rnacentral:tRNA from 1 species
GGCCGGUUAGCUCAGUUGGUUAGAGCGUGGUGCUAAUAACGCCAAGGUCACGGGUUCAACCCCAGUACGGGCCA